AGAAGAGGACAUCACAUCUCUGAAAUCCUUCCAGCUCUCAGCCUAUGAGGACGGUGGUGGUGAUGUGCCUAAAGCAAAGCCUGGGCCCACAAAUGACCUCACAGAAUCUCCUCCUAGCCCGAGGAAUCCCUUCUGACCUGCUUUGAGGCAGCCCCUCCCAA